rnacentral:snRNA from 1 species
GUGUUUCCUUUGGCAGCACAUAUAUGAACACUGGAAUGUUACAGAGAUUACUGUGGCCCCUGAGCAAGGAUGACAUUGCAAAUUCUAUGUGUUUCAGAUUAAA